ensembl:lncRNA
GAAACAGCCUGCGGGUGAUGAGGCAGCAGCUCUGGGCCGUUCUGGUGCUGGGUCAACUUCUGAGAUCUGGGCAGGGCCUGGGGGAAGGGGGUGGCCUGAGCCUGCCAGUUGCCCCAGGGCCCUUCCAUCCCGCCCAGCCCGUGCUCCCUGGAGCUGGGGACUGAGGCAGGCCUGGGAGUUGGCCUGGCCUCAGGGGCAGGACUCAGAGGGGCAGCUGGCGGGAGGGCAGAGGCGUUCAGAGGGCCCCAGGUGUCUCGAGCACAGAGCUGCCCGGGGGCCCAGGUCUGGUAAGGACCACGAGCACCUGCAGAGCCCCAGGGGGAGGCCUGGGACCCCGGGGGGGACAGUGUGUGGCCACUUUCGGGUGCUGGCUGCAGCUGGAGGAGCAAGUGCGGGUCUCGCCGUGGGGCGGGCUCUGGGGCCAGCGGGCUCGCGGGCCUUGGCCGGGGCGGGUGUGCCUGCUGGGCCGGCUGCGUGCUCUGGGAGCGUGGAGGUCGGGGUGUGGGGUCUCCGGCGGGCGUGGGUCUCCGGGUGUCAGGCCCGCGUGGGUGGUGGCCUGCACGUGGGCGGCGCUGCGGGGGGAGCGAAGACCUCGGCGCUCAGGCCCGGUGGCAGCCGGGAGGGCGCUCUCGGCGCCGCUCACGGUUGCUUUCAAUGCAAUCCGCUUGAAUUGCUGGUUUAUGUGUUUAAUGCGGGCUGUGUGGAGCCUCGGCGCUCUGCGGGCGGCCGGGCCCUGCGCGAUUCAGGCCUUUCCUCUCGGUCCCAGGGCGCCGAGCCCCACGCAGCCCGCGGAGCCGGCCGCCUCAGCAGGAAGCCGCGGGCCUGUGUGGGCGACUCUCUGGGGACGGCCCUGCUGCGGGGGGGGCUUGGGAACGGCUCUCUGCGUUCCGGGGGCCGGGCCUGGCUCCCGCCCAGGCCUCCCCAACCUCCAGCCGGCCGAGCCCCGCCGGCCGCCGCCUCCCUCGCCCUCUCGUUUCCCGGUCUCGGUCUCCACAGCUCCCGGCCGCCAGCGGUGGGAUGCAGCCCUUUCCUCGUGGGCAUGUUUGGGGCGGUUCUGCCCGACACCCCGGAGGCUGCAGGUCCGCCCGGCAGACAUCGCCACAAGCGACUGGGUGAAGAUUGCGCCCAAACUCCCCGGAGCCCGGAGAUGGGCCCGAGCCCCGUAUAAACGCCAACCGUAUUUCUGAGGAGACAGACACUGGGUGCCCGGCUCUGCAAGGAAAGCCUCAGGCUAGGUUCCAAGUGCGGCUUUAAAAAAUACUGCGUUUUUAAAAAGCCAAGUAUUUACCUACUUAUUUGGAACCUAAGAUCUUGUGUAUGCUAGGUGUGCUCUGUCCCCGAACUACAACCCCAGCCCCUUAACUGCAUUAAAAACAUUAUUUUAAAAAUUUCAUACAACGAACACACACAAAAAGGAGUGCAACCGCCGUGGCAUGCAGCGGUUUCCUCACUCCGAAGGCAGUCGCGCGGCCCUCGAUGGUCGAGCCUGGCCCCCAGCUCCAGCCCAUGCCCGGGGUCUCCUCAGUGCCGUGCCCCUGUGGAAGGCAGCCGGGAUGGAAGCGCUGCUGUGGGCCCUUGGCGCGAGGCCUUGCCUGGACCGGGGUUUGCGUUUCUCUGGGGCAUCGUCCUUGACCGGGAUGUGGGUCACACGGACCACGUGGCUCCCUGUGGGACAGAUGGCCAGCCUGUUUCCAGAAGUGGAAAAUACCUCUUCCCAGCCUGCGUCCCACCAGCCGUGGGGGCGGCCAGCUGCUCCGGUCGUCCUGGGCACUGGCUAUUGCCACAGCUUUUUUAAAAUUUAAUUUUAGCCAUUCUGUGAGUAGUGGAAUCUCGUGUGGUUUCAAUUUGUGUUUCCCUGGUGAUUAAUAAUCUUUGACUUCUUUUUUCUUUUUUGGUACCAGGGAUCGAACUCGGGUCCUUGUGCUUGCCCGGCAGGCGGCAGAACCACUGAGCUAAAUCCCUGGCCCCUCUUGGACUUUUUUUCACACAUUUGUCUGGCAUGCAUAAUUUAUUCUUUGGUGAUUUUUUUUGAACUUAUGCUUCUUUUAAAAAAUUUCAUUGUUUGCAAGGACCUGAGUUCGAUCCCUGGUACCAAAAAAAAAAAAAAAAUUUCAUUGCUUGGGGCCAGGGAUUUAGCUCAGUGGGGUCACGCCUGCCUCAUAAGCGAAAGGUCCUGAGUUUGAUCCUCGGUCCAAAAAAAAAAAAAAAAUUCAUUGCUCGUUCUCUUAUUGAGUUUUAGGAGUUCUUUCCAUAUUCUGGCCAUGUCCUUUGUGAGAUAGAAGCUAUACAAUUAUUUUCUCCCUCUAUGUGACUAGUCUUUUUAUUCUCUUAAGGGUGUCUUUCAGAGGGCGAAGCUUUUAGUUUUGAUGAAGUCAAGUUCCUAAUUCUUUCUUCUAUCAAUCUUUGAUGUUUCUGAGACUCAUUGCCCUGUGAGAGGUCACAAAGGUUUUCUCCCGUGUUUUCUUCUAAUGAUUGUAGAUGUUGGCACUGGGGGUGAUGUUGGGUCCACUCUGUGUUUGUACCCUUGUGAGGCUGAGGCUGAAGAGAAUGAUUUGUCCCAGCACCGUUCCCUGAAACGAAGGUGUUUCCUCCAUGGAUCUGUGUCUUCACCUCCAUCAAGUACUCCAUUUUCCAAGUAGAGAUGGGAACCUGGAGGACAAGGAUGGCGGGGCUUCUGGAAGGUCUGAGGCACCCAUCCAGGGUGUAUAUCCCCACCCAGAGUUGGCAGAGGGCAGCUGGCCUGUCAGCAGCUCCAGGUGUGAGCAGGGUUGGGGAACCCCUGCCCCCCAAUGACUGCACCUGUGUUCUCCAGCUGCACAAGUGGAGUGCUCAGGGCGGGUCCCUACCUCCUGAAGGCCUUGUCCACCUGGCUCUUGUUCUGGAGGCUUCCCUGUCAGGGAGUUGGGGUGGGAACUGCGGCCCUGGACCCCCUUGCCAGCCCUGGCUCACAAAUCUUGAGUGUUGGCCUAAGAGAGGUUUCCAAUAAUGUUAGACAUUUACAUGGCUUCCAGAAACUGAGUAAAUGUUUACAUUUCAGACUAAGUCACUGAUAAAUAUUCCUAAAAAGAGUCUAAAGGAAUAAACAUUUUUGUGGAUAUUUGUGCCUGUUUUUAAAUUGAGAUGUAAUUUCCAAUAGGAAAAGGCACAAAUCUGGGUAUGCAGCUGCACGACUGUCCCCGUUAGCACUUGCCUCCACCUCCUGGACUGUGCUUGCCCAUCCACUUCUCGUAAGCGGAGCCACAAGGAUGUGCUCUUCCUGACGUAUUGCGCACACUGAAGGAGAGCUGUGUGGGGACCUGCUGUGUGGCUGUGCCACAUUCUCCUCCAUACUGAUGAGCAGGGCUGACCAGGUUUUGGGCUGUCAUAAACAACUCUCCCAUGAGCACUCGUGAACCGGCCUUGUAUGGCUGUAAUACUCAUGCCUGCAGCACAUGCAUGGCCCACUGUGCACAGCAGAGUGGAUGCUCAGCUCUGGCAGGUUCUCUACGGUUUUUGAAGUGACUGGAUCCUUCUGGCCCCAUCAGCACAGGCCACUGUUGCUGGGUUCCACAUCUCCCCAGCAUAUGGUACUGAUGGUUGGUCUAAUUGUAAUCAUUUCAGUAGGUGCUCAGUGGAAACUAAAGAGACUCCUCUGUAUUUUAAAGAUGAUUGUGAGUUGUUUGGAUGACCUCCUCAUUAUCCAAAGAGGUUAAGAAGUAAAGGUAAGAGCUAAGAGAUGUUACCUUACACUUCUGUAACAAAAAUCCCAAUGUGGGUCCUACUGGUCUUCUUAGGAACUUGAAUCAAUGCUUAUGUCCACCCAAGGACUUGAACACAAGUAUUCACAGCAGCUUCAUUCAUAAUGGCAAACAAUGAACACAGGCAAAAGAUCCAUUAGGAGGGCCAUGUCCACUUCUGAGGCUGAAGGGGAGGAUAAUUUCCAUGACUUCUCCAGCCUCCUCAGCUGCCUGUGUUUCUUGACUUGUGACUCCUUUGUCCAUUUCCAAGAUCAACAGUGGCUUGCAGUCCCUUCCUCCUCCUCCAGUGUCCACAUUGGCACAUGACCUUCCUUCAUCUCUGGGUCCAACAGUGAUGUGUGGCCCCGUCCUCCAUCCCCAAGGCCAGCAGAGGCUUGUGGCCACCUUCCGUCUCCAAGGCCAACAGUGAUAGGCUUCAUCUUUUCACUAUUAUGCUACUCUGCUCUUGCCUGCUUUUCUCUUUCAAUUUUAGGGAUCUUGCAAUUACCUUGGACCCACGUGGAUGAUCGAGCCAAAUCACUGCAUCACAAGAAUGAAAGGGAAACGAAGGAGGAAGGCUCACGUCUGUGCCUUCGGAGGAGCUCCAGUCUUCACUUUCACCUUGGACGUUGUCUCCUGGCUUCCAGCACAAACUCAUCAGCCUUCCAUCACAGACCCUUUGGCCUCCUCAUAUAAACUGGCACGGGAUACUACACUAAGCUCCAGGCCUUAACUGGAUCCUUCAGAUCUCUAGUGCACAGAUAGUCCUCUUGUGUGCUUCCAACCUGACGCUGUGAGUGGCCAUUGUAAGCCCAUCUUGUAAAUUCUUAUAUAUCUGUAUAUCUUGCAUUAAAUCUGUUUCUCUAGUAAGCACUGAUAUAAGCCCUAUUAUCAUUAAAUCAUGCCUUUCUGUCACUGGUGUUUUUGAAGUCUACUUUAUUGGAGGCCAGAAGAGCUGGCUACUUUCUCCUUUGAUUAAUAGUAUAUCUUUCCCAUCCCUCUACUUUCAGCAGCCCUGCAUGAUAUUUAAAGUGAGUUUCUGUGGACAAUGCAUAGAAGAAGUAAACUGAUCUCUAUUUGCAAAUGACA